rnacentral:sRNA from 1 species
GCCGGGCACGGUGGUUCAUGCCUGUAAUCCCAACACUUUGGGAGGCCAAGGUGGGAGGAUCGCUUGAUCCCAGGAGUUCAAGACUGCCCUGGACAACAUAGUAAGUCCCUACAAAACAAUUUUUUAAAUUAGCCAGGUUUGGUGGCUCAUGUUUGUAGUCCCAGCUACUCAGGAGGCUGAGGAGUGAGGAGGCAGGAUCACUUGAGCCCAAGAGGUUGAGGCUGUAGUGCAUGGAGAUUUUGCCACUGCACUCCAGCCUCGGCAACAGAGUGAGACCCUAUCUUA